rnacentral:rRNA from 1 species
AUACGGAGGGUGCAAGCGUUACUCGGAAUCACUGGGCGUAAAGCGCGCGCGGGCGGUCUUUUAAGUUGGAUGUGAAAGCCUACGGCUCAACCGUAGAACUGCAUCCAAAACUAUUAGACUAGAGUGUGGGAGAGGAAGAUGGAAUUAGUUGUGUAGGGGUAAAAUACGUAGAGAUAACUAGGAAUACCAAAAGCGAAGGCAAUCUUCUGGAACACUACUGACGCUGAGGCGCGAAAGCGUGGGGGGCAAACAGGAUUAGAAACCCUAGUAGUCC